UUUUUUGUAGUAUAUAUUAAGUACGUCGGUUUUUCACCCCGAAGGAGGAUUUAAAAUCUCACUUAA
rnacentral:tRNA from 1 species